GCCUAAUACAUGCAAGUCGAGCGAUGAGGCUCCUUCGGGAGUACAUCAGCGGCGAACGGGUGAGUAACACGUGGGUGACUUGCCCCGAAGAUGGGGAUAACCUCUGGAAACGGGGGCUAAUACCCAAUGUGCUCGGUGAUUCGGUUCAUCGAGUAAAGCUCCGGCGCUUCGGGAGAGGCCUGCGGCCCAUCAGCUAGUUGGUAGGGUAACGGCCUACCAAGGCAGAGACGGGUAGGGGGCGUGAGAGCGCGGACCCCCACACUGGCACUGAGAUACGGGCCAGACUCCUACGGGAGGCAGCAGUAAGGGAUAUUGCGCAAUGGACGAAAGUCAGACGCAGCGACGCCGCGUGGGCGAUGAAGGCCUUCGGGUUGUAAAGCCCUUUUAUGGGGGAAGAGAAAAAGGACGGUACCCCAGGAAUAAGUCCCGGCUAACUACGUGCCAGCAGCCGCGGUAAAACGUAGGGGACAAGCGUUAUCCGGAUUCACUGGGCGUAAAGAGCGUUGAGGCGGUUCCGUAAGUUGGGCGUGAAGGCUCCGGGCUUAACUCGGAGAUGUCGUUCAAUACUGCGGGGCUUGAGGACAGCAGAGGAAGGUGGAAUUCCCGGUGUAGUGGUGAAAUGCGUAGAUAUCGGGAGGAACACCCGUGGCGAAGGCGGCCUUCUGGGCUGUUCCUGACGCUGAAGGCGAAAGCUAGGGGAGCGAACGGGAUUAGAUACCCCGGUAGUCCUAGCUGUAAACGAUGGAUGCUGGGUGUGGGGGGUGUAAAUUCCCUCUGUGCCGAAGCAAACGCGUUAAGCAUCCCGCCUGGGGACUACGGCCGCAAGGCUUAAACUCAAACGAAUUGACGGGGGCCCGCACAAGCAGCGGAGCGUGUGGUUUAAUUCGAUGCUACACGAAGAACCUUACCUGGGUUUGACAUGCACGUGGUAGGGAACCGAAAGGGGACCGACCUUCGGGAGCGUGCACAGGUGCUGCAUGGCUGUCGUCAGCUCGUGCCGUGAGGUGUCGGGUUAAGUCCCGUAACGAGCGCAACCCUUGCCCUUAGUUACAAGUGUCUAAGGGGACUGCCCGGGACAACUGGGAGGAAGGUGGGGAUGACGUCAAGUCAGCA
rnacentral:rRNA from 1 species